rnacentral:rRNA from 12 species
AAAAAAAAAAAAAAAAAAAAAUUAAAAAAAAAAAAAAAAAAAAAAAAAAACAGGUCCAACAGGAUGUCCUCCCUUAUCUCCCCAAAAGGGAUCAUCA